UUAAGCGACUAAGCGUACACGGUGGAUGCCCUGGCAGUCAGAGGCGAUGAAGGACGUGCUAAUCUGCGAAAAGCGCCGGCGAGGUGAUAUGAACCUUUGACCCGGCGAUGUCCGAAUGGGGAAACCCAGUGUGUUCCGACACACUAUCGUUAACUGAAUACAUAGGUUAACGAGGCGAACCGGGGGAACUGAAACAUCUAAGUACCCCGAGGAAAAGAAAUCAACCGAGAUUCCCCCAGUAGCGGCGAGCGAACGGGGAGCAGCCCAGAGUCUGAAUCAGCUUGUGUGUUAGUGGAAGCGUCUGGAAAGUCGCACGGUACAGGGUGACAGUCCCGUACACGAAAGCACACAGGCUGUGAACUCGAAGAGUAGGGCGGGACACGUGGUAUCCUGUCUGAAUAUGGGGGGACCAUCCUCCAAGGCUAAAUACUCCUGACUGACCGAUAGUGAACCAGUACCGUGAGGGAAAGGCGAAAAGAACCCCGGCGAGGGGAGUGAAAAAGAACCUGAAACCGUGUACGUACAAGCAGUGGGAGCCUCUUUUAUGGGGUGACUGCGUACCUUUUGUAUAAUGGGUCAGCGACUUAUAUUCUGUAGCAAGGUUAACCGUAUAGGGGAGCCGAAGGGAAACCGAGUCUUAACUGGGCGUUAAGUUGCAGGGUAUAGACCCGAAACCCGGUGAUCUAGCCAUGGGCAGGUUGAAGGUUGGGUAACACUAACUGGAGGACCGAACCGACUAAUGUUGAAAAAUUAGCGGAUGACUUGUGGCUGGGGGUGAAAGGCCAAUCAAACCGGGAGAUAGCUGGUUCUCCCCGAAAGCUAUUUAGGUAGCGCCUCGUGAACUCAUCUUCGGGGGUAGAGCACUGUUUCGGCUAGGGGGCCAUCCCGGCUUACCAACCCGAUGCAAACUACGAAUACCGAAGAAUGUUAUCACGGGAGACACACGGCGGGUGCUAACGUCCGUCGUGAAGAGGGAAACAACCCAGACCGCCAGCUAAGGUCCCAAAGUCAUGGUUAAGUGGGAAACGAUGUGGGAAGGCACAGACAGCCAGGAUGUUGGCUUAGAAGCAGCCAUCAUUUAAAGAAAGCGUAAUAGCUCACUGGUCGAGUCGGCCUGCGCGGAAGAUGUAACGGGGCUAAACCAUGCACCGAAGCUGCGGCAGCGACGCUUAUGCGUUGUUGGGUAGGGGAGCGUUCUGUAAGCCGUUGAAGGUGUCCUGUGAGGGGUGCUGGAGGUAUCAGAAGUGCGAAUGCUGACAUAAGUAACGAUAAAGCGGGUGAAAAGCCCGCUCGCCGGAAGACCAAGGGUUCCUGUCCAACGUUAAUCGGGGCAGGGUGAGUCGACCCCUAAGGCGAGGCCGAAAGGCGUAGUCGAUGGGAAACAGGUUAAUAUUCCUGUACUUGGUGUUACUGCGAAGGGGGGACGGAGAAGGCUAUGUUAGCCGGGCGACGGUUGUCCCGGUUUAAGCAUGUAGGCGGAGGUUCCAGGUAAAUCCGGUUCCUUGUUAACGCUGAGGUGUGAUGACGAGGCACUACGGUGCUGAAGUAACAAAUGCCCUGCUUCCAGGAAAAGCCUCUAAGCAUCAGGUAACACGAAAUCGUACCCCAAACCGACACAGGUGGUCAGGUAGAGAAUACCAAGGCGCUUGAGAGAACUCGGGUGAAGGAACUAGGCAAAAUGGUGCCGUAACUUCGGGAGAAGGCACGCUGAUAUGUAGGUGAAGCCCCUGCGGGUGGAGCUGAAAUCAGUCGAAGAUACCAGCUGGCUGCAACUGUUUAUUAAAAACACAGCACUGUGCAAACACGAAAGUGGACGUAUACGGUGUGACGCCUGCCCGGUGCCGGAAGGUUAAUUGAUGGGGUUAGCGGUAACGCGAAGCUCUUGAUCGAAGCCCCGGUAAACGGCGGCCGUAACUAUAACGGUCCUAAGGUAGCGAAAUUCCUUGUCGGGUAAGUUCCGACCUGCACGAAUGGCGUAAUGAUGGCCAGGCUGUCUCCACCCGAGACUCAGUGAAAUUGAACUCGCUGUGAAGAUGCAGUGUACCCGCGGCAAGACGGAAAGACCCCGUGAACCUUUACUAUAGCUUGACACUGAACACUGGUCCUUGAUGUGUAGGAUAGGUGGGAGGCUUUGAAGCGUGGACGCCAGUCUGCGUGGAGCCAACCUUGAAAUACCACCCUUUAAUGGCUGGUGUUCUAACGUAGACCCGUGAUCCGGGUUGCGGACAGUGUCUGGUGGGUAGUUUGACUGGGGCGGUCUCCUCCCAAAGAGUAACGGAGGAGCACGAAGGUUAGCUAAUCCUGGUCGGACAUCAGGAGGUUAGUGCAAUGGCAUAAGCUAGCUUGACUGCGAGAGUGACGGCUCGAGCAGGUGCGAAAGCAGGUCAUAGUGAUCCGGUGGUUCUGAAUGGAAGGGCCAUCGCUCAACGGAUAAAAGGUACUCCGGGGAUAACAGGCUGAUACCGCCCAAGAGUUCAUAUCGACGGCGGUGUUUGGCACCUCGAUGUCGGCUCAUCACAUCCUGGGGCUGAAGUAGGUCCCAAGGGUAUGGCUGUUCGCCAUUUAAAGUGGUACGCGAGCUGGGUUUAGAACGUCGUGAGACAGUUCGGUCCCUAUCUGCCGUGGGCGCUGGAGAAUUGAGGGGGGCUGCUCCUAGUACGAGAGGACCGGAGUGGACGCAUCACUGGUGUUCGGGUUGUCAUGCCAAUGGCACUGCCCGGUAGCUAAAUGCGGAAGAGAUAAGUGCUGAAAGCAUCUAAGCACGAAACUUGCCCCGAGAUGAGUUCUCCCUGAGACUUUAAGUCUCCUGAAGGAACGUUGAAGACUACGACGUUGAUAGGUCGGGUGUGUAAGCGCAGCGAUGCGUUGAGCUAACCGAUACUAAUGAACCGUGAGGCUUAACCUU
rnacentral:rRNA from 1 species